rnacentral:rRNA from 1 species
GACGAACGCUGGCGGCGUGCUUAACACAUGCAAGUCGACAUGAGUGGACAACGGGUGAGUAAUACGUGGGUAACCUGACCUCCUUUUUGGGAUAAGCCUUGGAAACGGGGUCUAAUACCGAAUAAAGGGGGACGGGCUCGCGGCCUAUCAGCUUGUUGGUGGGGUGCUGGCCUACCAAGCCGGUGACGGGUAGCCGGCCUGAGAGGGUGCACGGGCACUGUGGGACUGAGCUACUGCCCAGGCUCCUACGGGGGGGAGCAUUGUGGACUAUUGCACAAUGGGCGAUCGCGUGAUGCAGCGACGCCGCAGGGGGCAUGCAGGCUUUCGGGUUGUAAACCUCAUUCGCUAUCGAGUGGUUACGCGGAGAAGAAGCGCCGGCUAACUACGUGCCAGCAGCCGCGGUAAUAC